GACCCUCCCGACGCCCGCUCCCCUGGCUCUUCGCAGCCUCACCCCUGCACCCCCAACCGCCCCGCCUCCCCGCGCACUGCCGCCCCUGUGCCCCGCCUCCGCCGCCGCCCCGCGCACCUCCCCGCGCACCGCCCCGCGCCGCCGCCCCUCUCCCCGCCUCCUCCGCCGCCGGCCCGCGCGCCUGGCGAGGGCGCUUCGGCCGGCCGACGGGGCGAGGGCGAACGGCGAACAUGGAACAAUGACACGCGCGGAACGGGCGCUGGCCAACGUGUCCGGCCGGACCUGAGACCGUGGCGCGCACUGCCCAACGUGGAACACCGGUCUCUUCCUGGCCGUCGGUGACCUCUCGGUUGCCACCUCCGGCCUUAUCUCCUACGGAACAAGCUACUCCAUCCAUCGGUUGCAAGAUCUGAGGAAUUUGAUUGGAGUGCUUCACAUGGUGGCCCUUUGAUUUCUCCAACUCUGGCAUAAUUGCAUUGGAAUUAUUUCUGAUUAAGUAUUAGCUCUUGGAUUACUCCUAUGGUAACGUCUCUUAAUCCGGAUUGCACACACUGAUUCUACAUGUCCCCUGAUUUUCUUUAACCAAUUCUACAUUUCCAGCCUCAAGGUGGAUUAUGAUAAUUUACUGUUUUAUCUUUGUACUGGGAAGGUUUACAUUGAAGUUAUUCCUGCGUCGAAGAUUCCAUACAGAUCUGAAGAGCUGUAAAUUGUUAUGGUAUUCACAUUGCUGCUGCUGCUGAAUGUGUUGUGCUUCUCACCACUCAUGUUCAUUCUUGUGUUAUGCCCAUAAGGAAAUAUAAGGUGCUGAACUGGUCUUUUUGGUGCAUGGCUGGUCGUUUUGGUGUUUCUAGGAAUGCCUCUGCGGCAACACACAGGUGACUGAUUUCAGCGACAAUUCUUCUAUGAAGUGUGUGGUUCACUCCACCUAUUACAAAUGUUCGAAACCUAAAAGUCUUCGCAAACUCUCAGAAAGGCAAGAUAUAACUUCAGUUUUCUUUGGUGUUCACCAAUGUGCUAUAGCGCAGCACCACUCCAAGAUGACGAACUAUGUUUUUCUGAACGUACCUUGUGAGUUGUUCAAGUAACAUAUAUCAUGCUCGUGCGAGGCUACAUGCUCACAUGAUGGAAGCAAUUCAUAGCAAGUAAAAUUUGCUCUUGUUGUUUCAGAAUUACACUUAUGCAUACUCAAUAUUGAGUGUUGUGAUGAUGGUAAGAAGUGUGAUACAGAGAACUUGCAAAGGUGCAAAAAAAGAACAAGGAGCCCAUGGCUAAUGCUUGCACUCACAUUUUUCUCACAGAUCGUCCUUUCUCGAUCAACAGGCUGGUACGAGAUGUUAAAAUGGGUUCGUAUUUGUCUACCAUUAUUCUUCUAUAUCAAAAGUGUCAAUUCCAUCGAUUUCUUGCUAGUAUGUUGUGUAGUGUACGAUUUAGCCGCAAGAGUCGGUGCAUCCUCUCGUUUCCGGGCGUCC